rnacentral:RNase_P_RNA from 1 species
GCGGAGGGCCGGACGGCCGCCUGCAAUGCGCUCUUGGCGGAUUGUUUGGGAGGAAAGUCCGGACUCCACAAGGCAACGGUGCCGGGUAACGCCCGGCCGGGGCAACCCGAGGGAAAGCGCCACAGAAAACAGACCGCUCUCGCAAUCCGCCAUGCGGAUCACGUGAGUCAGGGUGAAACGGUGGGGUAAGAGCCCACCGCGGGACGGGCAACCGGACCGGCAUGGCAAGCCCCACCGGGAGCAAUGCCGAAUAGGGAUCGCAUCCGGGCCGCCUUGGCCCCGCGAUCCGGGUUGGCAGCUAAAGCCUGCGGGCAACCGCAGGACCAGAUGAAUGGUCGUCCUACGACAGAAUCCGGCUUACAGGCCCUCCGCGCGC